ACGUAGGCAGCAAGCGUUGUUCGGAGUUACUGGGCGUAAAGAGUGCGUAGGCGGUCUUCCAAGUCUGGUGUGAAAUCUCCCGGCUUAACCGGGAGGGUGCGCCGGAAACUGGAAGGCUUGAGUGUGGGAGAGGAAAGCGGAAUUCCUGGUGUAGCGGUGAAAUGCGUAGAUAUCAGGAGGAACACCGGUGGUGUAGACGGCUUUCUGGACCAUUACUGACGCUGAGGCACGAAAGCGUGGGGAGCAAACAG
rnacentral:rRNA from 1 species